UGCUAAUACCCGAUAUGCCGCGAGGUGAAACCUAAUUGGCCUGAAGAAGAGCUCGUCUGAUUAGCUAGUUGGUGGGGUAAGAGCCUACCAAGGCGACGAUCAAGCUGGUCUGAGAGGAUGAGCAGCCACACUGGGACUGAGACACGGCCCACUCCUACGGGAGGCAGCAGUGGGGAAUUUUCCGCAAUGGGCGAAAGCGACGGAGCAACGCCGCGUUGAGGGAGGAAGGUCUUUGGAUUUAAACCUCUUUUCUCAAGGAAGAAGUUCUGACGGUMCUUGAGGAAUCCCUCGGCUAACUCCGUGCCAGCAGCCGCGGUAUUACGGGGGAGGCAAGUUWUCCGGAUUUAUUGGGCGUAAAGCGUCCGCAGGUGGUCAGCCAAGUGUGUCAAAUCAGGUUGCUUAMCGACCUAAAGGCGG
rnacentral:rRNA from 1 species